GGACUACUGGGGUUUCUAAUCCUGUUUGCUACCCACGCUUUCGUGUCUCAGCGUCAGUUGCGGUCCAGAGAGCCGUCUACACCACAGGUGUUCCUCCUGAUAUCUACGCAUUUCACCGCUACACCAGGAAUUCCACUCUCCCAUCCCGCACUCUAGCCCUCCAGUUUUCGGCGCACCCUCCCAGUUGAGCCGGGAGAUUUCACACCAGACUUAGAGAACCGCCUACACACCCUUUACGCCCAGUAACUCCGAACAACGCUUGCUGCCUACGUAUUACCGCGGCUGCUGGCAC
rnacentral:rRNA from 1 species